UGGGGAAUAUUGCACAAUGGGCGCAAGCCUGAUGCAGCCAUGCCGCGUGUGUGAAGAAGGCCUUCGGGUUGUAAAGCACUUUCAGCGAGGAGGAAGGUGGUGAGCUUAAUACGCUCAUCAAUUGACGUUACUCGCAGAAGAAGCACCGGCUAACUCCGUGCCAGCAGCCGCGGUAAUACGGAGGGUGCAAGCGUUAAUCGGAAUUACUGGGCGUAAAGCGCACGCAGGCGGUUUGUUAAGUCAGAUGUGAAAUCCCCGGGCUCAACCUGGGAACUGCAUUUGAAACUGGCAAGCUAGAGUCUCGUAGAGGGGGGUAGAAUUCCAGGUGUAGCGGUGAAAUGCGUAGAGAUCUGGAGGAAUACCGGUGGCGAAGGCGGCCCCCCUGGACGAAGACUGACGCUCAGGUGCGAAAGCGUGGGGAGCAAAACAGGAUUAGAUACCCUGGUAGUCCACGCUGUAAAACGAUGUCGAUUCGGAGGUUGUGCCCUUGAGGCGUGGCUUCCGGAGCUAACGCGUUAAAUCGACCGCCUGGGGAGUACGGCCGCAAGGUUAAAACUCAAAGGAAUUGACGGGGUCAUAGCUGUUUCCUG
rnacentral:rRNA from 1 species